rnacentral:rRNA from 1 species
GACGAACGCUGGCGGCGUGCCUAAUACAUGCAAGUCGAGCGCAGGAAGCCGUCUGAACCCUUCGGGGGGACGACGGUGGAAUGAGCGGCGGACGGGUGAGUAACACGUAAAGAACCUGCCCAUAGGUCUGGGAUAACCACGAGAAAUCGGGGCUAAUACCGGAUGUGUCAUCGGACCGCAUGGUCCGCUGAUGAAAGGCGCUCCGGCGUCGCCCAUGGAUGGCUUUGCGGUGCAUUAGCUAGUUGGUGGGGUAACGGCCCACCAAGGCGACGAGGCAUAGCCGACCUGGGAGGGUGAUCGGCCACACUGGGACUGAGACACGGCCCAGACUCCUACGGGAGGCAGCAGUAGGGAAUCUUCCACAAUGGACGAAAGUCUGAUGGAGCAACGCCGCGUGAACGAUGAAGGCUUUCGGGUCGUAAAGUUCUGUUGUAAGGGAAGAACAAGUGCCGCAGGCAAUGGCGGCACCUUGACGGUACCUUGCGAGAAAGCCACGGCUAACUACGUGCCAGCCGCCGCGGUAACAC